rnacentral:rRNA from 1 species
AACGAACGCUGGCGGCAGGCCUAACACAUGCAAGUCGAACGUGAAGCCACCUUCGGGUGGUGGAAAGUGGCAGACGGGUGAGUAACGCGUGGGAACGUGCCUUUCGGUUCGGAAUAACUCAGGGAAACUUGGGCUAAUACCGGAUACGCCCUUCGGGGGAAAGAUUCAUCGCCGAAAGAUCGGCCCGCGUCGGAUUAGCUUGUUGGUGGGGUAAAAGCCCACCAAGGCGACGAUCCGUAGCUGGUCUGAGAGGAUGAUCAGCCACACUGGGACUGAGACACGGCCCAGACUCCUACGGGAGGCAGCAGUGGGGAAUAUUGGACAAUGGGCGCAAGCCUGAUCCAGCCAUGCCGCGUGGGUGAAGAAGGCCCUAGGGUUGUAAAUCCCUUUCAGCGGGGAAGAUAAUGACGGUACCCGCAGAAGAAGCCCCGGCUAACUCCGUG